AGACCAUGAAACUUAUAGACUAUAAAUAUACCAAAUCAUAUACCAUUUGUUAUAUAAAAAUUAAGAGGGAAAGAUAUGGUUGAAGCUCUAAAACUUGUUAAUGUUUUAAUUCUAUUUCUUUCCAUAUUUCUAUCCAUAAUAGUAUCUACUUCUUCCUUUCCCUGGAAGCUAUAUCCAUGUGUAACAGAUAAAGAUUGUCCAAGAAAAAACAGGCAUGUUGUUAAGUGUCGUAAAGGCUAUUGUGUAGGGGUGCAGAUAAUCUGAGGGACAUCAAAGAGCUGUCCUACAAGAGAAACAGUGUUCAUCUUGAAGAUGCAGUGUCAUAUCUAUAAUGAGUUUGGGUUAUGUUGGCUUAUAAUUAUGUGUUUGCAUUAAGUUGUUUUAUCAAUAAAGUAUGUUUUGUUGAGUAUUGUCUUGUUAUGUUGGUUGCUUUGGAUAACUUGGACUUUUAUGUUGUGUUGUUUCCUUUGGGAUAUGCUUUAUGUUGUUUAUUUAGACUAAUGAAUAUCAAAAUUAUAUUGGGGUAUGUUGGUAUGGUAUUUUACUUCACGUUGUUCACUGAUUAAAUGUUUAAUUUAGUAUUCAAAUCUUUAGUACAUGCAACUCUACAUUAUUAUUUUUUCCCAAAACUAGUUAAUGUAAAAAAAUUUGGAACAACUAUUUAAACAUAUAUUUUGCAACAACUAUUUUAACAAUUCUGUGUAUAUGAACAUGUGUUUUGAAUUUUUUUCUUCUUUUACUUUUAUGAAAGUGCUCCUAUACACAUAUGACUGUCAAAAUAAUUGUUGCAAAAUAGAUGUUCAUAUAUCAUUUCUUAAAUAUAUUUUUUUUAUUGAAAGAAUAAGAAUCAUUUCUCAAAUAUUUUAAGUGCAAAAUAAAUGAAUACAAACGUAUCACACCAAUUCUAACAAAACUACAAGGAGAAUUAUUAAAUUAGAGUCAAAUACUAACACAUUGUCUACUGCAUCGCUUUGAUCAAAGACAACUAUUAUGAGCAAGGUUGAUAAAAGAGCAAGGCCAUCAAGACAAAUCACCUUAGGGUUUACAAAAAUAUAAAAAAAGUACAAUAAAAAGAUCAAAUAUUCUUCGAUUAGAUAUUAAAAAUACUUUAUCUUUAAAUUUAUCAUAUGCCCUUUUAUUGUAGAUGUUUUAUUGAGGUUGUAUUGAAGUGACACAUAGUUAAAGCUUAUGGGAUGUCGAAUGUAUAUAUGUGGCUGCACACCCUCAUUUUUAUGUGUUAACUUUUGAGAUUGAGAUCUAAGAUCUUUAAUAUAUUGUAUUAGAUAUGCAUUAAGGAUGUCUGUAUGGGGAAUGGGCUCAGAAGCCAUGCUUGACGUGAGAACGAGUAUUGAAGUUGUAUUGAAAUUUCACAUUGUCAAGAUUUUGAGACUAUUAAAUGUAUAUAUGUGAUUACACAUCCUCAUCCAAUGAACUAACUUUUGAACUUGAGAUCCAAAC
rnacentral:lncRNA from 1 species